UGGUGUGUGCAAUACAUGACUUGUGCUGUCAAGGCUCGCGUAGCUUCCCGUUAGGCCUCGCGUUCGGGUUCCGUCUAGGUGGAACGUACUGGCGUGUGUUGCUUCGGAAUAAUAUGAACGCCUGUGCAAGAUGGACGUGUUCCAGCAGCGUGUAUGUGAAUUGUCUUAGGAAAAUUACCCAUAUUUUUGGGCUCUGCAAUUUUAUCUCGGUGGCAGUCGGAAUAUUUUUCAUCGCCUCACAACUACUGGGAGCAGGAGUAUGCAAUGCAGCUCCAUUUACUAAUGUCGACGUUCCAGGUUCCCAGGUAGAAAGCUACCCUCCUGUAGUAUGGGACGAAGUUGACCCCUACCUCCAAUAAUAAAAAUUAGCGUGAGAAACUUCACCUGAAUCUUUUUUUUUGCUUGCGCCUAUCGUUAUAAAGGCCAUACAAAAAAACGAAAGGUACAUAAACGUUAAAGUAAGCACAUAUCGGCUGUUGAUGUUGGCGUAUUUAGGGAGCUUAUUGCAAUAUCCUUAACAGCUGCAGUGAAGCAGACCAAAUUCGUGCGUACACGAAGAAUAACAAUUCGUGCAUCCCUGUAUAAGCUAGUUGUCAGAAACAAAUUGCCG